rnacentral:rRNA from 1 species
ACACGGAGGGCGCAAGCGUUGCUCGGAAUCACUGGGCGUAAAGCGGGUGUAGGCGGUCUAGCAAGUCAGAUGUGAAAGCCCACGGCUCAACCGUGGAAGUGCAUCUGAAACUGCUAGACUUGAGUGCCGGAGAGGGAAGUGGAAUUCCUGGUGUAGGGGUGAAAUCCGUAGAUAUCAGGAGGAACACCGGUGGCGAAGGCGACUUCCUGGACGGCCACUGACGCUGAGACCCGAAAACGUGGGGAGCAAACAGGAUUAGAAACCCUAGUAGUCC